GACGAACGCUGGCGGCGUGCUUAACACAUGCAAGUCGAACGGAAAGGCCCUGCUUGCAGGGUGCUCGAGUGGCGAACGGGUGAGUAACACGUGGGUGAUCUGCCCCUUACUUUGGGAUAAGCCUGGGAAACUGGGUCUAAUACUGGAUAGGACCAUGCUGUAGGUGGUGUGGUGGAAAGAUUAGUUUCGGUAAGGGAUGAGCUCGCGGCCUAUCAGCUUGUUGGUGGGGUAAUGGCCUACCAAGGCGUCGACGGGUAGCCGGCCUGAGAGGGUGGACGGCCACGUUGGGACUGCGACACGGCGCAGACUCCUACGGGAGGCAGCAGUGGGGAAUAUUGCACAAUGGGCGCAAGCCUGAUGCAGCGACGGCGCGUGGGGGAUGACGGCCUUCGGGUUGUAAACUCCUUUCAGCCAUGACGAAGCCCUUGUGGUGACGGUAGUGGUAGAAGAAGCACCGGCUAACUACGUG
rnacentral:rRNA from 1 species